rnacentral:rRNA from 1 species
AGUGAACGCUGGCGGUAGGCCUAACACAUGCGAGUCGAACGGCAGCACAGUAAGAGCUUGCUCUUACGGGUGGCGAGUGGCGGACGGGUGAGGAAUACAUCGGAAUCUACUUUUUCGUGGGGGAUAACGUAGGGAAACUUACGCUAAUACCGCAUACGACCUACGGGUGAAAGCAGGGGAUCUUCGGACCUUGCGCGAUUGAAUGAGCCGAUGUCGGAUUAGCUAGUUGGCGGGGUAAAGGCCCACCAAGGCGACGAUCCGUAGCUGGUCUGAGAGGAUGAUCAGCCACACUGGAACUGAGACACGGUCCAGACUCCUACGGGAGGCAGCAGUGGGGAAUAUUGGACAAUGGGCGCAAGCCUGAUCCAGCCAUACCGCGUGGGUGAAGAAGGCCUUCGGGUUGUAAAGCCCUGUUGUUGGGAAAGAAAAGCAGCAGGUUAAUACCCCGCUGUUCUGACGGUACCCAAAGAAUAAGCACCGGCUAACUUCGUG